AGCUUUGCGCAGUGGCAGUAUCGUAGCCAAUGAGGUUUAUCCGAGGCGCGAUUAUUGCUAAUUGAAAACUUUUCCCAGUUCCAAUUUCUGCUUUCAUCAUAUACUAGAAUUAUGGCUUUGGGCAUAUGUCCAAACUU